GAUGAACGCUGGCGGCGUGCCUAAUACAUGCAAGUCGAGCGAACAGACGAGGAACUUGCUCCUCUGACGUUAGCGGCGGACGGGGGAGUAACACGUGGAUAACCUACCUAUAAGACUGGGAUAAAUUCGGGAAACCGGAGCUAAUACCGGCUAAAAUAUUGAACCGCAUGGUUCAAUAGUGAAAGACGGUUUUGCUGUCGCUUAUAGCUGGAUCCGCGCCGCAUUAGCUAGUUGGUAAGGUAACGGCUUACCAAGGCAACGAUGCGUAGCCGACCUGAGAGGGUGAUCGGCCACACUGGAACUGAGACACGGUCCAGACUCCUACGGGAGGCAGCAGUAGGGAAUCUUCCGCAAUGGGCGAAAGCCUGACGGAGCAACGCCGCGUGAGUGAUGAAGGUCUUCGGAUCGUAAAACUCUGUUAUUAGGGAAGAACAAAUGUGUAAGUAACUAUGCACGUCUUGACGGUACCUAAUCAGAAAGCCACGGCUAACUACGUG
rnacentral:rRNA from 1 species